rnacentral:rRNA from 2 species
UGCUUAACACAUGCAAGUCGAACGAUGAACCUCACUUGUGGGGGGAUUAGUGGCGAACGGGUGAGUAACACGUGAGUAACCUGCCCUUGACUCUGGGAUAAGCCUGGGAAACUGGGUCUAAUACCGGAUAUGACCUUCCAUCGCAUGGUGGUUGGUGGAAAGCUUUUGUGGUUUUGGAUGGACUCGCGGCCUAUCAGCUUGUUGGUGGGGUAAUGGCCUACCAAGGCGACGACGGGUAGCCGGCCUGAGAGGGUGACCGGCCACACUGGGACUGAGACACGGCCCAGACUCCUACGGGAGGCAGCAGUGGGGAAUAUUGCACAAUGGGCGCAAGCCUGAUGCAGCGACGCCGCGUGAGGGAUGACGGCCUUCGGGUUGUAAACCUCUUUCAGUAGGGAAGAAGCGAAAGUGACGGUACCUGCAGAAGAAGCGCCGGCUAACUACGUGCCAGCAGCCGCGGUAAUACGUAGGGCGCAAGCGUUAUCCGGAAUUAUUGGGCGUAAAGAGCUCGUAGGCGGUUUGUCGCGUCUGCCGUGAAAGUCCGGGGCUCAACUCCGGAUCUGCGGUGGGUACGGGCAGACUAGAGUGAUGUAGGGGAGACUGGAAUUCCUGGUGUAGCGGUGAAAUGCGCAGAUAUCAGGAGGAACACCGAUGGCGAAGGCAGGUCUCUGGGCAUUAACUGACGCUGAGGAGCGAAAGCAUGGGGAGCGAACAGGAUUAGAUACCCUGGUAGUCCAUGCCGUAAACGUUGGGCACUAGGUGU